rnacentral:rRNA from 1 species
GUUUGAUCAUGGCUCAGAGCGAACGCUGGCGGCAGGCUUAACACAUGCAAGUCGAACGGGCGUAGCAAUACGUCAGUGGCAGACGGGUGAGUAACACGUGGGAACGUACCUUUUGGUUCGGAACAACUGAGGGAAACUUCAGCUAAUACCGGAUAAGCCCUUACGGGGAAAGAUUUAUCGCCGAAAGAUCGGCCCGCGUCUGAUUAGCUAGUUGGUGGGGUAAGAGCCCACCAAGGCGACGAUCAGUAGCUGGUCUGAGAGGAUGAUCAGCCACAUUGGGACUGAGACACGGCCCAAACUCCUACGGGAGGCAGCAGUGGGGAAUAUUGGACAAUGGGCGAAAGCCUGAUCCAGCCAUGCCGCGUGAGUGAUGAAGGCCCUAGGGUUGUAAAGCUCUUUUAACGGGGAAGAUAAUGACGGUACCCGUAGAAUAAGCCCCGGCUAACUUCGUG